AGAAGGCUGCCAAUAGGAUAUCAGUAUGCCACACCGUCUGCUUUCCUGGGGACCCUGCUGUCCUCUCCCUAAGUGCUUCUGCUUUCAGCCGGUGGAGAGUCUGAUGUGCCUAGAGAAGUUGCGCAGUGGGACGAGGCUGCAGCGAGAGCCUGGCCUUUCCCCAGGCGGAAGAGAGCCUUGUCUCAGAUCCUGAGAGAGAAGUGAGUGGGGGCAUGGCAUUCCGAGCAGCCCAGGUUUGGCUUUGGGCCAGGCACUGAGUGGCAAACAAGAAGGAACACAUUCCGGGAAGGCAAGGAGCCCUGCCAGCACGAAGGCAGCAGCGAAAGCAGGGCUCUGCUGGGUACCAGGUGUUCCUUGGCUCUGUGGAGGUCAGGCACGCAGGCGGAUGAACUCAGGUUUCUCUAGAAUAUCAUUUCAGAGGCUUAAAUGCCUCCCACCCUCUCGCUGUCAGCGGACAGGGCAUGUGGAACUGUUAAACGUUAAAACUCUCUGCUCUGGGGCCCAGCCCGUGCUCUCUAAAUAAAGGUAGGAGCGGAAAGAGUGUUGUUGCCAUCAUGAAAUCACACUUCACAGGAGCCAGAUUUCGGCGAUUCUGUGUCUAAGAGAAAAUGCUAAUCCAAACAAGGGCAGGUUGGAGAAGAGCCUGGGAUUUCUAUGCCCUAGAAACUGCACUCUCCACCCUUGCAGCCCAGAAACACAAACACACACACACUUGUUCUCCACGCCUGCCUUCCGAGUGGCCAGAGCUGGGGGAAGUCUGGAGAGCCCUCGGAAACGCCGUCCUUUCAGAAUCAGCGCUGGCCCUUCCCCAGGUGAUGAGAGAAGAGAGCGAGGAGGACCAAAGCGGAAGCGGAUAGAGCCAUUCUUUUCGGGGCAAAUGGCCACACAAGCCUUCCUGAAGAUUCCCUUCUUACUUUGGAUAGGGUCUCCCUCUGUUGCCCAGGCUGGAAUACAGUGUUGUGAUCUUGGCUCACUGCAGCCUUAACCUCCCAGGCUCAAGUGAUCCUCCCAUCUCAGCCUCCUGCGUAGCUGGGACUACAGGACACAGGACUGUUCAGAGAAGCUGUCUUUCUGUGCAUUUGUUGGUUGCUAGGGAAAAACAGGCCCAUAUCAGGAAGGGGGCUUCAUGAGGACACCUUUCCCUAACAGCCCCACCAUGCCCAUGGCCGCUGCCUCUGGCCCCCACCCAAGACUGGCCCUGAUAUUGAGGGUGACACUGAAAAUGUCACAGUUCAGAGGCAGCAGCGCAGGCAGAGGUUCUGGGAUGGCUGACGGAGUAGGCGGGUCUCACACAGCGUCUUUCCCGAAAGCCAGAAGUUCUGCUUAUGCCUAGGCUGGGAGGAAAAUCAACCUGUCUACCUCAUCUCCAGUGCCAGGCAGCUCGUAGGCCAGGCUGAGUGAGGCCUCUAGCCCCACCCUUGAGGAGGCACACUGAGAGGGAGGACCCUGAGACUCGCUUAUGCCGAGAACAAAAGUGUCCAAAGUACCCGCGCAGCAUGACUGUAAACCAUCAGGUUCCGGGAAAGUAGGCUGAGCACAGGAGGCCUUAUCAAAGCUCAGGAGCUGAUGCGCUGAAGGUGUGGGAGGUGGACGCCCAUCAGCCUACAGGUGAGUGUGGCCAGGAGGGGAGGAGCCGUCUUAUACCAGGAAGUGGCCUCAGCCACCUUGGACAGUCAGGACAGCUUGAUGAUGAGAGCCAAACCAUCUCAAAAAUGUCCCUGAGGGAGAGCGUAGGAGGGAACAGAUCCUCUCUCCCUGGGCAGGUCGGGCUCUCCAAUGGCCUUUGAGUUCCUGCCUCCACUAAUCGCUCCAAAGAAUCAUUACCCUGUUCCUGCUCCUCCAGGCUACACAUCAAUAAAGCCUGAGCCGUCAAGCCAGCCCCAACCAAGUGGGCCCAGGGGCUGACCAAGAAAGAGAGGGUGGCCAAGAAGCAGGGCCGUGCUGGGGCAGUGUGGUGGUCAGGAACAGGUAACAAGGUCACGUGCAGUGGUCCUGCUGCAGAUUAGGAGCUGGAGCCUGGAACCUACAAAUCUCAAUGCUCAGUCACCCUCCGCUCUGUGACUGAGGCCAGCCAAAGUUCUCUUCUUCAAGAACAGAGUUUUCGCCUCAGCCCAAGAUCUGCCAGGACCCUCAGAGAUUGAUUCAGCCUCACCCGCUCCCACCAUACCAUUGUACAGAUUAUGAAACUGAGACCUGCCAAGGGACAGGCUGUGUCCGGUCCUACAGUGAACAGCCAGUGACCUCACCCACAAAAUCAGCCCAGCCAUGGCCAUGUGGCCUGGUUACCUCUGUCCUCAACCUUAGAGAGGAUUUUGCCACACAUAUCAACAUAUACCUACAACAGUCUUGUGAAGUGACAGAUUUUGCUAGAGAUUUGACUCUCAAAGUUGAUUUCUGGAUUUAUUUGGUUCCAUCAUGUCACAUUUCACAGAGGUUUUUUUUUUUCCCUUGAUUUUUAAAGAUUAUAGAAAAUAUGAAAAAUAUAUAUAAGAUCAAAAUCACCUAAAGAUUCCCCAAAAAUCACCCAAAUAAAAAAUGUAUGAUAAACAUA